rnacentral:rRNA from 1 species
GUCGAGCGAGCACUGAGCCUUCGGGUGGUGCUGAGUGGCGGACGGGUGAGUAACGCGUGGGUACCUGCCUCACACAGGGGGAUAACAGUUAGAAAUGACUGCUAAUACCGCAUAAGCUCGCAUGGGAAAAACUCCGGUGGUGUGAGAUGGACCCGCGUCUGAUUAGCUAGUUGGUGGGGUAACGGCCUACCAAGGCGACGAUCAGUAGCCGACCUGGGAGGGUGACCGGCCACAUUGGGACUGAGACACGGCCCAAACUCCUACGGGAGGCAGCAGUGGGGAAUAUUGCACAAUGGGGGAAACCCUGAUGCAGCGACGCCGCGUGAUGAAGAAGUAUUUCGGUAUGUAAAAUCUAUCAGCAAGGAAGAAAAUGACGGUACUUGACUAAGAAGCCCCGGCUAACUACGUGCCAGCAGCCGCGGUAAUACGUAGGGGGCAAGCGUUAUCCGGAUUUACUGGGUGUAAAGGGAGCGUAGGCGGUCUGGCAAGCCAGAAGUGAAAGCCCGGGGCUUAACCCGGGACUGCUUUUGGAACUGUUAGACUAGAGUGUCGGAGAGGUAAGUGGAAUUCCUAGUGUAGCGGUGAAAUGCGUAGAUAUUAGGAGGAACA